UAAGAGCAGGUUUUAGGGAAGAAACGCCUGUAGCGAGUAAUCAGAAGAGAAGGGUGAAAGCCAAGAGCCUUUGACUUCCCCAGUGCACUUAAUUUUCUUGUUCUUCUCUCUUUCAGGACAGGGAAAAUCGCUGACUUGGGUCCAGCAAUGCCAAAUGUGUUGGGGUGUGAGCAGCCAAAGGCAACAGGCUCCAGCCCCACCGACCGGCGCUGGGGGCACCUGGUGCUGCCCGUGGGGUGGGGAGACCAGGAGUGAGAGGAAACGCAGUGCCAGAGCAGGCUGUGUUUGCCUCUGAGGACAGAGAGCCUGUGGGCUCAGGAAGCAGCAAAUAUAUCCUGAUAAGCCCUGAAUGUGCCAGGAGGUUUCAGCCGGGAGGAAAGGAGCUGUGGAAGAAAAGCAGCCUAAAAAUAGCCAGCGGGGAUGAUCAGGUUUUCCAGCCAAGAAGAACAAGGAGAGAGAUGAGGGAAUCGGGUUCCAAUUCCUAAUGAUUUGGUGGGUGUAGGAAUGAUUUCUGUGUGUUUUCCAGUCCCUUUUGAUUCCUGGGAUGAUUUUAAUGAUGGCUUUAGCAAUCAACUAAAUUAGAGAUGUUGUUUUUGAGAGGAAAUGAUGCCAAAUAAAUGCAGAGUUUUGGGUCAGUUUUUGGGAUGAUUUGGGUCAGUUUUUGGGGUCAGUUUUGGGAUGAUUUGGGUCAGUUUUUGGGGUCAGUUUUGGGUCAGCUUUUGGGGUGAUUUGGGUCGGUUUUGGGUCAAUUUUUGGGGAGCACUGGGUGUUACUGGGGGUUGUUGGGGAGCACUGGGUGUUACUGGGGUGUUACUGGGGAACACUGGGUGUUACUGGGGGUUGUUGGGGAGCACUGGGUGUUACUGGGGUGCACUGGGGAGCACUGGGUGUUACUGAGGGUUGUUGGGGAGCACUGGGUGUUACUGGGGAGCACUGGGAGAGAAGAUGAAAAAUAAAGAGAAUAAAAAAUAAACAAAAUAAAAAA